GUUGUAUGGUUAAGUGACUAAGCGUACACGGUGGAUGCCUUGGCAGUCAGAGGCGAUGAAAGACGUAGUAACUUGCGAUAAGCCCAGAUUAGGUAGUAACAACCAUUUGAGUCUGGGAUUUCUGAAGGGGAACUGAAACAUCUAAGUACCCCGAGGAAAAGAAAUCAACCGAGAUUCCGAAAGUAGCGGCGAGCGAAAUUGGACUAGCCCUUAAGCUUUACACGCGUUAGACGAACGGUCUGGAAAGUCCGACGAUACAGGGUGAUAGUCCCGUAGUUGACGACGUGUGUUCAGUGAAAUCGAGUAGGGCGGGACACGUGAUAUCCUGUCUGAAUAUGGGGGGACCAUCCUCCAAGGCUAAAUACUACUGACUGACCGAUAGUGAACCAGUACCGUGAGGGAAAGGCGAAAAGAACCCCUGUGAGGGGAGUGAAAUAGAACCUGAAACCGUGUACGUACAAGCAGUAGGAGCAGGCUUGUCCUGUGACUGCGUACCUUUUGUAUAAUGGGUCAGCGACUUAUAUUCAGUGGCAAGGUUAACCAUCUAGGGGAGCCGUAGGGAAACCGAGUCUUAACUGGGCGUUCAGUCUCUGGAUAUAGACCCGAAACCAGGUGAUCUAGCCAUGGGCAGGUUGAAGGUUGAGUAACAUCAACUGGAGGACCGAACCGACUAAUGUUGAAAAAUUAGCGGAUGACUUGUGGCUAGGGGUGAAAGGCCAAUCAAACCUGGAGAUAGCUGGUUCUCCCCGAAAGCUAUUUAGGUAGCGCCUCGGACGAAUACUACUGGGGGUAGAGCACUGUUAAGGCUAGGGGGUCAUCCCGACUUACCAACCCUUUGCAAACUCCGAAUACCAGUAAGUACUAUCCGGGAGACACACGGCGGGUGCUAACGUCCGUCGUGGAGAGGGAAACAACCCAGACCGCCAGCUAAGGUCCCAAAUUACUACUAAGUGGGAAACGAUGUGGGAAGGCUCAGACAGCCAGGAUGUUGGCUUAGAAGCAGCCAUCAUUUAAAGAAAGCGUAAUAGCUCACUGGUCGAGUCGGCCUGCGCGGAAGAUGUAACGGGGCUAAGUAGUAAACCGAAGCUGCGGCAAURURCUUUUGYAYAUUGGGUAGGGGAGCGUUCUGUAAGCGGUUGAAGGUGUGUGGUAACGCAUGCUGGACGUAUCAGAAGUGCGAAUGCUGACAUGAGUAACGAUAAAGGGGGUGAAAAACCUCCUCGCCGGAAGACCAAGGGUUCCUGUCCAACGUUAAUCGGGGCAGGGUAAGUCGACCCCUAAGGCGAGGCCGAAAGGCGUAGUCGAUGGGAAACGGGUUAAUAUUCCCGUACUUCUUACAAUUGCGAUGGGGGGACGGAGAAGGCUAGGUGGGCCUGGCGACGGUUGUCCAGGUUCAAGUGCGUAGGCUUAAGAGUUAGGUAAAUCCGGCUCUUUUUAAGGCUGAGACACGACGUCGAGCUACUACGGUAGUGAAGUCAUUGAUGCCAUGCUUCCAGGAAAAGCCUCUAAGCUUCAGAUUGUAAGGAAUCGUACCCCAAACCGACACAGGUGGUCGGGUAGAGAAUACCAAGGCGCUUGAGAGAACUCGGGUGAAGGAACUAGGCAAAAUGGUACCGUAACUUCGGGAGAAGGUACGCUCUYGAYGGUGAAGUCCCUCGCGGAUGGAGCURWYGAGAGUCGCAGAUACCAGGUGGCUGCAACUGUUUAUUAAAAACACAGCACUGUGCAAAAUCGUAAGAUGACGUAUACGGUGUGACGCCUGCCCGGUGCCGGAAGGUUAAUUGAUGGGGUUAGACUUCGGUCGAAGCUCUUGAUCGAAGCCCCGGUAAACGGCGGCCGUAACUAUAACGGUCCUAAGGUAGCGAAAUUCCUUGUCGGGUAAGUUCCGACCUGCACGAAUGGCGUAAUGAUGGCCACGCUGUCUCCACCCGAGACUCAGUGAAAUUGAAAUCGCUGUGAAGAUGCAGUGUACCCGCGGCUAGACGGAAAGACCCCGUGAACCUUUACUACAGCUUGGCACUGAACAUUGACCCUACAUGUGUAGGAUAGGUGGGAGGCUUUGAAGCACGUACGCCAGUAUGUGUGGAGCCGUCCUUGAAAUACCACCCUUGUAGUGUUGAUGUUCUAACGUCGACCCCUUAUCGGGGUUGCGGACAGUGCCUGGUGGGUAGUUUGACUGGGGCGGUCUCCUCCCAAAGAGUAACGGAGGAGCACGAAGGUGGGCUAAUCACGGUUGGACAUCGUGAGGUUAGUGCAAUGGCAUAAGCCCGCUUGACUGCGAGAAUGACAAUUCGAGCAGGUGCGAAAGCAGGUCAUAGUGAUCCGGUGGUUCUGAAUGGAAGGGCCAUCGCUCAACGGAUAAAAGGUACUCCGGGGAUAACAGGCUGAUACCGCCCAAGAGUUCAUAUCGACGGCGGUGUUUGGCACCUCGAUGUCGGCUCAUCACAUCCUGGGGCUGAAGUCGGUCCCAAGGGUAUGGCUGUUCGCCAUUUAAAGUGGUACGCGAGCUGGGUUUAGAACGUCGUGAGACAGUUCGGUCCCUAUCUGCCGUGGGCGUUGGAAGAUUGAAGGGGGCUGCUCCUAGUACGAGAGGACCGGAGUGGACGAACCUCUGGUGUUCGGGUUGUGUCGCCAGACGCAUUGCCCGGUAGCUAAGUUCGGAAUCGAUAACCGCUGAAAGCAUCUAAGCGGGAAGCGAGCCCUGAGAUGAGUCUUCCCUGAUACUUUAAGUAUCCUAAAGGGUUGUCGGAGACUACGACGUUGAUAGGUCAGGUGUGUAAGUGCUGUGAGGCAUUGAGCUAACUGAUACUAAUUGCCCGUGAGGCUUAACCAUACAACACCCAAGGGGUUU
rnacentral:rRNA from 1 species